rnacentral:lncRNA from 1 species
GAGACUCAGCAUCCUGUACUUGCCCAGAGUGGCGCGAAGGAGGAGCCAAGAAGCCUAAACAGGGCAGGAGCAGAAGAGAGGAGACGAGGGCAGAGGAGACGUGGUCCAGGAACAGAGGAAAGAAGGGACUGAGGCACAGCAGAGAGCUGAGCUAGAGACAGACCUAUUGGAGCAGAAGAACCCAACACCUCAGUGACACUGACUCCGAAUAGGAGCCCCCAGUGCCAAGGUGUCCAUCCCCCACUGAAGCUGGUUCAUCCAGCCGGACACCUGUUGUACUGUUCUACUGGGGCAUGGACCGCAAAAAAUGUCCCCAUUCCAGCUGCAA